rnacentral:rRNA from 1 species
AUGCACGCUGGUGGCGUGCCUAAUACAUGCAAGUCGAGCGAACGGACGAGAAGCUUGCUUCUCUGAUGUUAGCGGCGGACGGGUGAGUAACACGUGGAUAACCUACCUAUAAGACUGGGAUAACUUCGGGAAACCGGAGCUAAUACCGGAUAAUAUUUUGAACCGCAUGGUUCAAAAGUGAAAGACGGUCUUGCUGUCACUUAUAGAUGGAUCCGCGCUGCAUUAGCUAGUUGGUAAGGUAACGGCUUACCAAGGCAACGAUGCAUAGCCGACCUGAGAGGGUGAUCGGCCACACUGGAACUGAGACACGGUCCAGACUCCUACGGGAGGCAGCAGUAGGGAAUCUUCCGCAAUGGGCGAAAGCCUGACGGAGCAACGCCGCGUGAGUGAUGAAGGUCUUCGGAUCGUAAAACUCUGUUAUUAGGGAAGAACAUAUGUGUAAGUAACUGUGCACAUCUUGACGGUACCUAAUCAGAAAGCCACGGCUAACUACGUG